AGAACUUUUCAAAAGGGAGGGGGCACUGACUGACCUAAAAAGGGGGGGCGGGGUGGGCGUUCCUCUCAUGCUUCAGUGAUUCCCCAUAUAAUCAACAAAUAUAAAAAUCGGUAUUUGAAAAAUAGGGGGAGGGCAAAAAAUGUGCCCAGUCCCUUUAGUACCUUUGACUUUUGAUAUCUCUCCUGAAAUUCUCCAGUCAGUAUAUUUUUUUUACAGUUUACAUACGCUCUAUUUCCCCGCGAUUUCGCGGGUGUGUUCUAGUA
rnacentral:lncRNA from 1 species